UAGUGAGCCUCUGCCAGGACUGGUUUUCAGACCCGGGUGAAAUUACAAGGUCUGGGCACCUGGGUUUGGAGGGGCACCUGGGUUUGGAGGGGCACCUGGGUUUGGAGCCACACCUGCCGGCCACCGUAGUGCAGCCGGAAAUAUGGCAGCUGCCUGGCUCUCAGCGGGCUACUGGGAGGCGCUCAGCGGCCCUCUCACAGGAGGACAAAGUGCAGCUCACCCACUGGAUCAGCUCAACAAUGUCCCGAUCACCGUGCUCUCCGCUUCAAGACACGCCAGGGUGGUAAUCCAAAGUGUGGGCUCUCUUGGCGCCCCUUUCCCACCUGCCCAUGAUGGUGGGUCCACAUCAGCGGCUGCGGUGCCCGGGUGAGAAUAAUGAUAUGCUUCUCCAUUGGAGCUGCUGCUGCUCAGGACCACCAUGACAGUGCUGCCACACCCAGAGCAGUCAGGAGACAGGAAGCUCGACCCGUCUGCCCCUGUCUGCAGCCUUCAUUCACUCUUCAGAGCCUCCAGGGAGAACUUGUCAUUGGAGGCUCUGAUUUCAUCUUAUUUCCCAGUCAUAGGUGAACAUGUUGGGAACCACAAGUUUUACUCCAUGGUUUUUCUAGUGGUGGAUGGUGUCUUUAUGUAAUGGAAAUGGGCUCACCUGACCAUGUCACCAUUACUGAACUCUCAUCAAACAAGAAUUUAUAGAAGUCGACUACAUGUUAUUCAGACUCCACCCGAAGUGCAGCAAAAAGGCGAUUCAACCAAAGAAAUACCUCAGCUUCUGCAUGUCACGUGUGCACACCUUUUUAGACCUCCAUUUUGUCUGCUCCCUCAUCGGAUCUGGGAGAAGGGAAGCUUGGAGUGGUAGUUGCUAUUCCUCUGAACCUCAAUUGUCUUUCUUCGCAGCAGGACUAAAUGUGAGAAGCAGGUUUUAUAUUUAAGUUCUGUACUUUGUCCUGCAAAACUCACACACAUGAUAUCUGCCAAGUUAGAGUUCUGCAGAAAAUUAUACUUUGAAGAAAUUAAACAGAGGCACUCACCUGUGUGGGCACUGCAGGGGAGAGGACAAUCCCAAGCUGAUGCCACAGAGCAUGGCUGUGGCUCCUAUUUUCUUCACCUUUCCCCCUCCUUCUUCAAUCCAGUCUGUUAACAAACCUGCUCCCCACUCAGUUGUGCCUUUGCUAGUUCUUCACCACUGUAGUCCAAUACCUGGAACAAAACAAUUCUUGGCCCAUUUUAUAUUGAAUAAAGUGCUUAAUUUGCUUUCCUCCUACCUCUUAUGAAGUUGCUGAUGAACUUGUCCUUGGGAAAGAGGGACAGAGAGAGCUACAUGGAGAAGAAUAAAUGCAUGCCUUUGGAUCAGGUGACAGGCCUUCAGCUAUUUGAGGACAAUGACUCUAUCUUUCUGGAUUCUUCUGUUCAGGCUGCCUCAGCAAGAAUUCUGCGUCUGCUGGGGACACUGCGUUUGGAGUGCUGAAUUGAGAUCCAGACCCUGCAUGUAAGAAAGAUGGAAAAAAUAGAGGAAGUGCUGGUCCUCAGUGGGGAACAACCAGAGACUCCCACACUACUCCAUAGGGAGAAUCCGCCUUGUGCUCUGGGUCUGCCUCCUCUCCUGUGCAGGAACAUCUACAGCAAUAACCUGGCAUUACCAUGUCCCUAUUGACCAGAAAUCUCCUUGCCAUCAGGGAAUCUCGAGUGAAAUGCUACUGCCUAUCACAGUUCUCCGUGGAAUUAUUGGCACUUCUUUGGAGCAAACAAAUAUUUUUUUCUAGUGUUUUUUUUUUUUUUUUUUUUGGCGGGGUGGGGGCAGCACUCAGAAUGGACUAAGCAACUCCUAGGAGUAUCAGCUUGGGCUAGAUUCUGUGUGGAGGUCCAGAGGGAGGAAAAGUCCUGGUUAUAAUGGAGAAAACAUCCUAGACACAUAGGAGAAAAGACCCAAAAACAAAAAUAGGGAAGUGUAAUGUACCCAGCUCUGCUCACAGCACAUGGGAGUUGGCACUGUGUUCAGCUCUGGUGCUCAAUCAAGGUCGAAACAUAACCCAAACAUUGGCAGGCCCGUGGGCCAACUCCCUACAUUUCUGGAAUGGUCUUACUGAGAAUAAGAAAUACAUUUCAUCCCUUAGAAUUUUCUUUAUUCUUUACCACCCAGGCUGCCUCUGCUCUCUUGUGCUGGACAAGACCCAUCUCAUUCCAAGCACACGCUGCCAUGUUGUCUGAGCACAGGUGGAAACCUCUUGUCGCCCCCUCCAGAACUCUUUUUUGAGGAGAUUCCCAUAUUUAUUUAGAAGAAAUAUUUGAGUCACUAUGGGUGGAGGGUGACACCUAAGAGAACUGCUUUGUAUGGGACAAGAAGGGGAAUAUGUGUCACUUCUGAGAGAGGGGAGUGGGGAGAAGAAAAAGAAAGAAAGAGAAAGAAAGAAAAGAAGGCAGAAAGAAAGAAAAGGAAAAAGAGGUGAGGGGCAUUUAGAGAUAGAAACGACCUUGGAGGUGAUCCUGGCUCUGGAGAGGCUUAAUAUGAAUUACUAAAAUUACCAAGUGACAGAUGGGAAUGAGAGUGCUAGGGCAGGGGCUGUGUAUGUACUGUGCUUACACCUGAAUGGGAGAGGCCAGAGACCAUGGCCAGGCUGCAGGAACUGAAAGAAGAUUUGAGCCUGAGUAGCAAUUGUCUCCUUGUUUGUUUUUCCCGCUGGACCUCCUCCUCCGUGGGCUCUGUCCAGUGUCCAGUACACUGCCCCAAACAUAGAGGGCCCUCAUUCAAUGUUUUUUAAAGGAAAGAAUGAUGGAAAACUAGACCUUUUCAGAGAAAUCCUCUUAUUUUGCAAGUAACAAAGGCUAAAAUGUAAAUGAGAAUGUUGUAGAAACUGCAAAGUCCCUAUAUUGAUUUCUUCUGAAGUUUUCUGAUUCAUUUGAAGGAAGACAGAGCCAGAUAAACUUUAUAUAAAUGUUGUCCCUAUCUGGAUGAGUCUAGCUCAGAUGGAUUGGUCUAUCUCAGAUAUACCUGUGCCACAAAGACAUGGAAUUGUGUGGCAUCAUGGAAUAUGAUCUGGAAUCAUAGAAAAUUAGCAUGGAGAGGGGAUAUUAGAAAUCACUUAGACAUAAUCCAAACUCUUCCCCUUAUGUCACUCACCACUUUCUGUUUUUGUUUCCUUGCUUUAUAAAAUGUCUUUUAUUUUGAAACAAGGCCUUUCAGCCUGUCAACAUAAGUGUGUUUUCCACUCAGGAAUAAACUUUGAUUAAAAGCAUGAAACAUGAUUGGCAUAAAAUCAGUGCUGAAAAGUGCUUUGCAAAUGUUUUACAAGAAAUAAAUAGUACUUCAAACUCCAAUGGCUUCCUGAUAAAUCAACAGCUUGAUAGGAUGUUUAGUUGGGCACUCAGAUGGGAUGGGCAAAGUGGACUUAGAACUCAGUGGGACUUGGAGAAAGCCGACUAGGGGUUACAG